GACACCCUGGCCGAGUGGUUAAGGCGAUAGAUUAGAAUGUUCCGGGGCUGCAACUAGCUUAGUCAUCUAUUGGGAUUUUCCCGCGUAGGUUCGAAUCCUACGGGUGUCG